rnacentral:rRNA from 1 species
GACGAACGCUGGCGGCGUGCUUAACACAUGCAAGUCGAGCGGUAAGGCCCUUUCGGGGGUACACGAGCGGCGAACGGGUGAGUAACACGUGGGUGACCUGCCCUCAGCUCUGGGAUAAGCCUGGGAAACCGGGCCUAAUACUGGAUAUGACUCCAUGACGCAUGUUGUGGGGUGGAAAGCCUUGUGCGGCUGAGGAUGGGCCCGCGGCCUAUCAGCUUGUUGGUGGGGUGAGGCCUACCAAGGCGACGACGGGUAGCCGGCCUGAGAGGGCGACCGGCCACACUGGGACUGAGACACGGCCCAGACUCCUACGGGAGGCAGCAGUGGGGAGUCUUGCGCAAUGGGCGAAAGCCUGACGCAGCGACGCCGCGUGAGGGAUGACGGCCU